rnacentral:misc_RNA from 1 species
GAUGAAGAACGUAGCGAAAUGCGAUAAGUAAUGUGAAUUGCAGAAUUCAGUGAAUCAUCGAAUGUUUGAACGCACAUUGCGCCCCUUGGUAUUCCGAGGGGCAUGCCUGUUCGAGCGUCAUUAUAACCCCUCAAGCUCAGCUUGGUGUUGGGGCCUGCCGCACGGGCAGCCCUUAAAAUCAGUGGCGGUGCCAUCUGGCUCUAAGCGUAGUAAUUCUUCUCGCUAUAGAGUCCCGGUGGAUGCUUGCCAUUAACCCCCAAUUUUCUAUGGUUGACCUCGGAUCAGGUAGGGAUACCCGCUGAACUUAAGCAUAUCAAUAAGCGGAGGA